UACGGGGGGGGCAAGCGUUGUUCGGAAUUACUGGGCGUAAAGGGCUUGUAGGUGGCCAACUAAGUCAGACGUGAAAUCCCUCGGCUUAACCGGGGAACUGCGUCUGAUACUGGAUGGCUUGAGUUUGGGAGAGGGAUGCGGAAUUCCAGGUGUAGCGGUGAAAUGCGUAGAUAUCGAGAGGAACACCUGCGGCGAAGGCGGGUUGCUGGGCCGACACUGACGCUGAUGCGCGAAAGCCAGGGGAGCGAACGGG
rnacentral:rRNA from 1 species